rnacentral:tRNA from 1 species
UCCCUAGAUAGCUCAGUUGGUUAGAUCAUGGUGCUGAUAAUGCCAAGGUUGCAAGUUCGAUCCUCAAUAAGGGAC